UACGGAGGGUGCAAACGUUGCUCGGAAUUAUUGGGCGUAAAGCGCACGUAGGCGGUUCGUUAUGUCGGAUGUGAAAGCCCCGGGCUUAACCCGGGAAGGGCAUCCGAAACUGGCGGGCUUGAGUACGGAAGAGGGUCUCGGAAUUCCCGGUGUAGAGGUGAAAUUCGUAGAUAUCGGGAGGAACACCAGUGGCGAAGGCGGAGACCUGGGCCGAUACUGACGCUGAGGUGCGAAAGCGUGGGGAGCAAACAGG
rnacentral:rRNA from 1 species